rnacentral:rRNA from 1 species
AGAAGCAGCCAUCCUUUAAAGAAAGCGUAACAGCUCACUAGUUAAACGAUUUUGCACCGACGAUUUAACGGGGCUUAAGCAAAAAACCGAAGCCGUGGCUUCGUCGCAAGAUGAAGGGUAGGGGAGCUUUGAUACAGCUGUGAAGUCUCGUCGUGAGGCGAGGUGGAGCGGUAUCAAGUGAGUAUGCUGGAAUGAGUAACGAGAUCCAUGUGAAAACCAUGGACGCCGAAUAUCUAAGGUUUCCUCCGCCAUGCCAGUCAGCGGAGGGUUAGUCGAUCCUAAGGUGAGGCUGAAAAGCGUAACCGAUGGAUAGCAGGUUAAUAUUCCUGCACUGCUAUAAAUUCGUUUUUACCGAUGGGGUGACGAAGUAUGACAGAUCGGGCCCGAUAAGGAUUCGGGUUCCAAAAGCAAGGUAGUCCUUAUAGGAAAAUCCGUAGGGGCGUUUUUACCCGAGCUUAGGAAAAGCCUAUCGCAAGAUGGGUAAUUCGAUUGGUUCAAAUUUCCAAGAAAAACCUCUAGGGAGAGUUUAUAGUAUUCGUACCGCAAACCGACACAGGUAGAUUGGUAGAGUAUACCAAGGCGAGCGAGAGAAUGGUGGUUGAGGAACUAAGCAAAUUACAUCCGUAACUUAGGGAAAAGGAUGCCCAUCGGGCGCAAGCUUUGAUGGGGGCACAGAAAUGGCUCGGGCGGCUGUUUAACAAAAACACAGGUCUCUGCUAAACCAGUAAUGGGAUGUAUAGGGACCGACGCGUGCCCAGUGCCCGUAGGUUAAGAUUGGGGGUGACUUCUGCUUUGCAGAACGAGCUUCUGAUUUAAGCCCGGGUGAACGGCAGCAGUAACUAUAACUGUUCUAUGGUAGCGUAAUCCCUUGCCGGGUAAGUUCCGGCCCGCACGAAACGCGUAACGAUCUGAGCGCUCUCUUAACCACUAACUCGGUGAAAUUGAACUACCGGUGAAGAUGCCGGUUACUCAUUGUUGGACAGAGAGACCCCGUGGAGCUUUACUGUAACUUGGUAUUGGUAAUCGGUUUUAGUUGUGUAGUGUAGGAGGGAGUUCACCCUUAAACCGGUGAACGUCAAUGAAACACCUCUCUUCUAAUAUCGAGAGCCUCACUGCUUCGCAUGAUCUGCGAAGGGGACAAUGCCUGGUGGGCAGUUUAUCUGGGGCGGAUUCCUGCUAAAAGGUAACGCAGGAGCUCAAAGGUUCUCUUAACGCCGAUGGAAAUGGCGUUGUAAGUGCAAAGAUAUAUGGGAGCUUGACUGCAAGACUUACAAGUCGCGCAGAUACGAAAGUAGGACUUAGUGAUCUUCCGAGUGCUUAGUGGUAGGCCCGGAACUUAUCGGAUAAAAGCUACCCCGGGGAUAACAGGCUGAUCUUACCCGAGCGUCCACAGCGGCGGUAAGGUUUGGCACCUCGAUGUCGUCUCGUCAUAUCCUGGAGCUGGAGCAGGUUCCAAGGGUCCGGCUGUUCGCCGGUUAAAAUGGCGCGUUAGAUGGGUUCAGAACGUCGUGAGACAGUUCGGUCCAUUUCCACAAUGAGUGUGGAAUCCUGAGAGGACUCAUUCCUAGUACGAGAGGACCGGAAUGACAUAACCUCUGGUGUACCAGUUGUUCCGCCAGGAGCACCGCUGGGUAGCUAUGUUGUGAGUUGAUAAAUGCUGAAAGCAUCUAAGCAUGAAGCACACCUCAAAAUUAGGGUUCAUUUCGCUUUACGCGAACGCAACUCCUGGGAGAAUACCAGGUUGAUAGGCUGCAGGUGUAAGUGUAGUAAUACAUUCAGCCGAGCAGUACUAAUGUUAGCGAGCUUAAAUU